CCCAGAGGGUUACAAGGGUGUGUGUCAGGGGGCCUCCACGGGCGUCUCCACAGUGUGGAGGAGAGUCUGCUCUCCAACCAGGAGAAGAUCAAGGUCCUCCUCAAUGUUAUCCAAGACCUGGAGAAGAGCAAGGCCCUCAGCGAAGGGCGCUGCUCAUACAGAACUGGCCAGGACAUCAACAACUGUCCCACCUGUCAGAAGACUGCCUGCAUUAUCUACAGUGUGGAGCAUGACUUCAGGCAGCAGGAAGGCAGGUUCCAGCCAGUGAUAGAGACUCUAGACAGGGACUAUGAUUUUCCCCUCCCUAUCCCCAAAGCUGCCCCCGCCCACCCGAACACCAAGACCCUCGUCAAGAAGCUACGCAAGAAGUGCUUCUGGUGGCUGUAGACACACACAGACACACUCGCCCACACACAGCACAUCGCCGGCGGUACAGUCGCCAUGAAGACAUUCCGGACUGCUGUUACCAUGGGUAUUGGACAGGUGUGUGUCUAUGGACUAUGGGGACUGCUCCUGUUUCAUUGUUGUUGCUAUGGGAACUGUACACCUGUUAUGGUAUCUAUGGAGAUCUAUGGUUCAUCUCUGACAUGGUUGGAGAGCGAACAGUACAUCAGCCCACAACGAUGGGGAGACACUAAACUUUGACAAGAGUUCAGUCUAGAAGGCUGUGACAGCGGUGACCUUUCCUUAGUUCUAACAUCUGUCAGAUGAGAAUUCAUAGGUGAUGGACCAUGUCACAGUGAAGAGAGGAACUCUACUACCUAAACAGAGAUGAUUCCAUCAUCAAGCCCUUUAGAGAGUGACAGGCCGUGCAACCAAUCAACAGUCUCCCAGACUUGACUGACAAAGCGAGGAUCCAUUCAGGAUUCCCUCCGAGUGCACCAAACACAAAGACAAUAAUAAACACUCCACUCUACGAGCUUCCAAUCUUCCACAAUGCUAUUGGUUAUAACCCAAGCUCAACCAAUUAGAAUCAGCCUUUGCUUCUAAGACCACACCCUAUUUACUGUUUAACCAAUCAUCAGCACCAGACCCUAACCUGCCACAUCAGUGCUUUUUUAUAAACCAUCCCAGUGUAUGAUCUCCCACAAUGCUCUUCUUCUUCCUCUCACUGUGUUUCUGCAGCUGUUUGUAACAGUUAUAUUGGGAUCCAAUAAAGUUGUGUAUUUUAA